rnacentral:rRNA from 1 species
ACUCCUACGGGAGGCAGCAGUGAGGAAUAUUGGACAAUGGAGGCAACUCUGAUCCAGCCAUGCCGCGUGCAGGAAGACGGCCCUAUGGGUUGUAAACUGCUUUUAUACAGGAAGAAUUGUGCCUACGUGUAGGUAUUUGACGGUACUGUAAGAAUAAGGAUCGGCUAACUCCG